rnacentral:rRNA from 1 species
UGGGGGAUAUUGCACAAUGGAGGAAACUCUGAUGCAGCGACGCCGCGUGAGGGAAGAAGGCCUUCGGGUUGUAAACCUCUGUCUUCGGGGACGAACAAAUGACGGUACCCGAGGAGGAAGCCACGGCUAACUACGUGCCAGCAGCCGCGGUAAUACGUAGGUGGCAAGCGUUAUCCGGAUUUAUUGGGCGUAAAGCGAGCGCAGGCGGUUUUUUAAGUCUGAUGUGAAAGCCCUCGGCUUAACCGAGGAAGCGCAUCGGAAACUGGGAAACUUGAGUGCAGAGGAGGACAGUGGAACUCCAUGUGUAGCGGUGAAAUGCGUAGAUAUAUGGAAGAACACCAGUGGCGAAGGCGGCUGUCUGGUCUGUAACUGACGCUGAGGCUCGAAAGCAUGGGUAGCGAACAGGAUUAGAUACCCUGGUAGUCCAUGCCGUAAACGAUGAAUGCUAGGUGUUGGAGGGUUUCCGCCCUUCAGUGCCGCAGCUAACGCAUUAAGCAUUCCGCCUGGGGAGUACGACCGCAAGGUUG